AGAAAUCCCAGCUGCCAGGGGACUGCCACUCUCUAACAGCACUGGAACUUCCAGAAGCCCUUGACAUCAUUUGUCUGUCUCAACCUGAGACUUAUGGAUGAAAAAGCACUGUGCAACUGAUAAGUAUUGGCACUGAUUGUAUUAUUUAUUCUUCAAGCACCAGGAUUGUGAACCAUGAGCAAACUGUAUGUUGUUAACACCUCUGGCUGAGAUGACCGUUCUCAUAUGAACAAAGGACCUUUGCAGAAGAUGGUGUGUGCAAAAGAAAAAACAGUAUGAUGUAACCACAAGAGCAAAUAGUAGUUAUGCACGUCUAAUUGAAUGUAAUACAUAUCCCAUUAUUUCUAGGACCUGUGUUAUAACCCUCUGAGAAAAUCAAUUGCUUGGAGAAAGAUAAACAGGUAAAAUUCAGGGUUUGUGUUUCCCCAGAAAAUGUAUUGUUUCUGUUCAAAAACAUGCUUCUAGGUAAAAAUAAUAAACCAGGAGAGCCAUCCUAGACUGGUUUUCUAUUUUGAGAGAGCACUAUUAAAUAUAUUACAGCUGAAGAGCUGAUUCUGCAUUUAAAAAGCUUCAUAGCUAGACUUCUUUACCCAGUAAUGAUAUAUGACUGGGGGACACAAGUUAUAGGACAGGCACUUGAGUAGAAUACAGUGAAGGUUGGAUUUAGGUAUGUCAAUACUAAUUGUUGUUAUUCCUAAUUUAUUGGGUUGUUUGAAAUGAUGUUAUGAUACUAAAGCUGUGAAAAGAUUUGCAGAGUAUGUACAAAAGAAGCCGGUAGUUACUUACAAAAAUCUCAUGGAGAAACAGUAACAAAACCCACACAACUAGAGAGCUGGUAACAGUAGCAUCUGAGAAGAACUGGCAUGUGAAUAGCUACAAAAAUAUAAAUAAAGCUGACUGAUCCCAUCUCUAUUUAAAGUGAUUGGGAUCCUGGAAGCUGUUGUCAGCAAGGAGUGAAUACGAUCCAGUAAGAAUAUAUGAUGCAAAUCAACACAAACGUUAGUGACACUUUGAAGUCAGACUAACAUUUGUUGAGCAGCAGCAAAGUUGGUGGCUUUGUAUCUUAUAAAUCACAUUUCUGGAAAAACAAAGCAAACAAAAAACAUAAACACUUUUUAAAUACCAAAAGAGAGGAAAGAAAUGACAGACUCAUGUUUUGCUUGGGAAAAAAAAAAAAUCACUUGGUUGGAAGCAAAGAAAAAAAGUUUAAAAGAUCAAAUUUUGGGACCUAGCACUUAAUGAAAAUGUGGAUUUUCUGCCUCCAGCAGAAGUAUCACCGAUAUUUCAAGCAGAUCUGUGAAUAUAAACCAUGAUAUGAAUAUCUCUGAGGUCAGCUAAACAUUAAUGAUAUGGAUAAUACUUUGUUUAUAAGCAUAAGGAAUUCUGUGUGAUAUUCAAAUUGUUUAAGAAUUGUUAUUAAACUCAUUGGGAAAGGUAUACGUGAUGCUAGGAAUUGUUUAGUAUUUUGAAAGAGGCAUAAUUUUUCUAGUCUUAGAAGUUCUGCAGAUACAUAUGCUCUGUCAAGCAGAAGCAUUUGAAACUGUAUCAUGAAAUAAAGAGGAUCCCUGUAGAGCACCUUGGCUCCAGAAUAAUCACUGAACACUGGACAACAGAAGAACUUAUUUUGGGCUUUCUACUUAUCAGGAUCAUUUCACAGUUAAAAGAAAUCAAGUGGUGAUAACAAGCUCAAAAAUUGGUGUUUUUUGUCGUAAGUCUUCAUACCAAGAGAUGACACAGCAUGACAUCACUGUGCAAUGACAGGGGACAUCAAGAAGAGAAGGAAAAGCAGUUCAUGUGCUGCAAACCAGAUAUGUUGCUGAUCUACUUAAAGUGCAAGAACAAGACAUGCAAUUAAUUUCUUCAGUGUUCUUCUCUGCUCUUAUAUUGUGUACACAAACAACCGUUCAGAGUGAAGCAAAUCAAGAUAUUUUUUUACUAUCUUGCUUUUCUUGGCUAGGCAAUCUAUCAUGGAUUCAAAAUGUUUGGACACCUGUGUACAAAAGUUAAGGUCUUCUCUUGAUGUGAAUAAGGAAAAUUUUAAAAUGAGCUGACGGCAGCAGGAUACACAAAAGGAACAUAAAGUUAGUUACGGAAGUCAGUCAGUAAGAAUUUUCCUUAACAGUUAUUAGUAAUUCAUUCUGAAUCACAAAUUUGCAGGCAGUGUCUUCUACAAACAUGGAAGAAUCUGCAGAACAGUAAUAAGCAACUGAAAGAAGUGUUGUUUGACUGAUAGUGAGAGACUAUACCUCUUCUCCCAAAUGAUCAUAUGAGAUAAAGGGCAAAAACUGAGCAGCUGGACUUACCCAUUAAGGAGGUCUGUAAUUUAUCUCUGCAAAAAAACAUGUCUAAUCAGUAGGACACUGAUCACAAGACAGCACCUAGUACCUCCAAUGAAUGAAUAUAUAUCUACUAUCCAUAGUAAAACUGACAAAUCUUAUCUUGUCAAGAGGCAAUACUGAAGGAAGGCAGAAGCACAGCUCAAAGUUUCCUUUUUUUAAUCUAUAUUUAAAACACCAGGGAAAAGAAAAUAAAUCACCACCUUCCAACCUUAUGACUCUUGAGAGGUUUGUGGUGAAACAGGUAUAGCUAAAAGCAGUAAGAAAACAUAGAAGCAAAGUGUUUAUAUAUUGUUUAUAUGUUUUAAAUACUUUCUCUGACCAGUGCCUAUCCUGGGAAAUGUCUAGCACCAAGAAGGGAAGGAUGGAAGUGGCAAAGUGUUGACUGCAAGUGUAAAAUUCCUUUGGAGCAUCUUCCUUUAAGUGUACCUAGUCACACUGAAGGAACCUCAAGUUAUUCUUAAUUAAAAAGCCUCCCACUUUGAACUAAAAUGUCUUACAAAAUUGCAACAGUCACAGGUGGACAGUAUGCUUUCCUGAGGCUCUAGAUUCCUCCUGGACUCACAGUCAGAGUGCAUCAAUGAGCAUUUUUCAGGGCAAUUGAUAGAGCAAGUUGUUGUAGCAAGUUGCUCUAGUUUCAUUUGGAUUCAGGAGCUGGUAAUUUCAGAUACUGUAGAAACACAGCGUAAGACCUUUCUUUUGCUCUUCUCUGUGAGGACGGGUCUCAGUAGCAAUGAGUCGGGCAUCAAUGGAUUUGGUCUUAAAUGCACAAUGAUGUACUGUAUCACUCUGUACAGCUACUGCAUGGAGCAGGGGAAAUUGCUGUACUUGAGCUUUCAUCCUUUCCCCCAGCAUAUCUACAUGACAUAGCUGAUAUUUUCUUGGCACAUCUGAAAUUAAGCUGCAGCAAUGAAUAUUCCUGUUUCUGGGUCAGGAGCUGUAAAAUUUGGAAAAUAGCUUCUAUAUUCACCAAGAGAUACACAUGCUUCUUGACACUUCAACAACCUGCUAGAAAAACAUCCCACACCAGGCUAGCUGGCAGCAGGAAACGUGCCAGUAGUCUGGAACAACCUGAAAGGAAAACAAAGAGUUAAAUACCAAAUAUAUCAGUCUGUUUAGGAGUAGAGGAGGAAGCUGGCAGUGGUAUUCAGAGAUGCCGGAAUGUGGGAUUUAGGGAAAAGUAAAGACAGGUGUUCAAACUGUGCAAUUUACAAGCACUGCUGCAAUCCUAAAGCCACAUCAAGAGAAUACCAACUAAGGCAGGUGCAUAUCCAUUACCUGAGCAGAGCCUAUAUGCUCAGAGUAAGAAUUAUCAGUAUGAAUGUACAAAGCUAUCAGACUCUAUAUGCCAAUCCCUUGCAAUGCAGGCCCACCUUACAUGCAAGGGAAGAAAGUUAAGUUGUGGAAUGCUUUAAAUGUAGUGAUUUGUUUCAAAUCCGUAUUGAAAUCAACUAUUGUAGUUGCUGCAGAAAUGCUGCUAUCUCAUCUAGAAAUUGGUGUGAUUACUGAGUGAAAUGAAAUGUGGCUCCAGAAGUAAUUACUGUAUGAAAAAGUGAUUUUCAUUAAAAGCACAUGUGAGAGCCUCCAAUCUACCAGAAAUUUAUCUUCCCUGUCCUGAAAUGACCCUCUCAUUUUUAGUCCCGAGUCUACGUAGAGUUGAAUUUACAAGUUUCAUUAGGGAACUAUACAUCUUCUACAGAGCUUUAGGCUUUAUCAGAGGAAAAGAUUGGUCUUGCUAGGAUAUUCCUAAUCAAUAGUACCCAACGAAUAUGUAGAAAAAUGGAUUAAAACCCACUGUGAGUCACUGAAACUACAUCAUUAAAUGUGUAUAGUUCUAAAACCGCUGGGCUGAACUUCUUGCAGCAUAGCUAUUCUUUUUUUAAAUCUUACACAAAUCAGCAAAACAAAUUAAAUCUAAAAUUUUUAGAUUGUGCCAUUACUGAGUUAUUCUAACAUAUGAACAGAGCAUUUUUCAUAUUUGCAUGAUUUGAUUGUUUAACCAAUUGUGUUGAAAGAAACUUAAAGAAGAGAUUGCUGUUGUGUGAGCAGUGACAUGAGGCACUUUGGCGUCAAAGGAUUUUAUAUAAGGAAGUUAAGUAAGGCAGAGCGAGAAUUAGGGCUAAGGGCUAGAAUUAGAGUCAGUGCUUUGAAUGCUAACUAUAUAUACACAUAAAAUAUACUAUAACAAAACAUUGAUAAGUUGUGCAACUAAUUCAUUAAUAUUAACCUAUUAAGAUAGCAUCAGUUGUGUAUGCAGAGUGAAUGAGAAUGUCCAGCUCUGAGUCUGUAUAUCUUCAUUUAGAUACAUAAUACUGAGAUCAUGGAAGUGGUUCAUUUAAUGUUUCACAGCACUGUUGACGUGUUAUAUGUUAUGUUUUUGAUUAUGAGAGUGCUUGGGUGUAAACAUUUAUGCAAAUGUAUCAGUGCUGCAUGUGUAUUCCAGGCAUGUGCUUAUUUGAGAACUAGCAUAAUGCAUUGCUGCACAUAUAUAUGCAUGCUGUGUGUGCGUAUACAGGAUUUUGCAGAAAGAUGUGCUCUGACCAGCCAAUCCUUGUCCAGCAAAUCCCAGAGGGUAGUAAUGGCUAUUGGACCUUGGUGGAUCCUCACAUAUGGAGCCUGUGCAGCAUAGUUUGCUAGUGAAGGGAUGAGCUCUAAUGCCAAGAAUAUGUUAAAGAUACUGCAGCAUAUCUCAUUUGUUAGCAGUGCUGCUGCUGUCUUCUCAAGGAUAUCAAAAUGCCUGUCAGCACCUGGAUGAAAAUCAGCUGACUCAGAUUCAAUCUGGCUGAGAUGAAAAUGAUGAUGGCUGGAGUGGGGAAAAUGUUUAAAACCGGGGUAACAUCUUUAUCUGUGACAAUAUCAUCAGACGCUUAUCUAUUGAAAUGUAACAGUGCCUCAGGUUUUGUUUUGUUUUGGAUUCUUUGUCAUUGUCUGAGCGAUCGUGAUGGUCGAUUGCAAAAGUACCCUUUUCUUUUCCCGAGCUUAACUUCUCGUUCUGCAGAUUUGGCCAUUGCAAUCUACUUGCUCUUCCCUGCGAGAAUGAACUAACAGGAACUCCCUGAACCUCUAGGUGAGUGCCUAGAAAAUUAAGACACUCCAGCUGUGGCAAAAUGUGACAGUCCUCUUCAACAGUAGGAGUAUUGCUGCUCCCAAUGGUUUGCAGGUUAUUUCCUCACUGUGUUUGUCUUGUUUCUGUUCUUCAAACCAAUAAAG